rnacentral:rRNA from 1 species
UUGUCCUUAGUUGCCACCAUUCAGUUGGGCACUCUAAGGAGACUGCCGGUGUUAACCGGAGAAGUGGGGAUGACGUCAAGUCCUCAUGGCCCUUAUAUCCAGGGCUACACACGUGCUACAAUGGCCGGUACAAAGGGUCGCAAUACCGCAAGGUGGAGCUAAUCCCAAAAAGCCGGUCUCAGUUCGGAUUGCAGGCUGCAACUCGCCUGCAUGAAGUCGGAAUCGCUAGUAAUCGCGGAUCAGCUACGCCGCGGUGAACUACGUUCUCGGGCCUU